rnacentral:rRNA from 1 species
AUUGAACGCUGGCGGCAUGCCUUACACAUGCAAAUCGAACGGUAACGGGCCUUCGGGUGCCGACGAGUGGCGAACGGGUGGGUAAUACAUCGGAACGUGCCCGAUCGUGGGGGAUAACGAGGCGAAAGCUUUGCUAAUACCGCAUACGAUCUACGGAUGAAAGCAGGGGACCGCAAGGCCUUGCGCGGACGGAGCGGCCGAUGGCAGAUUAGGUAGUUGGUGGGAUAAAAGCUUACCAAGCCGACGAUCUGUAGCUGGUCUGAGAGGAUGAUCAGCCACACUGGGACUGAGACACGGCCCAGACUCCUACGGGAGGCAGCAGUGGGGAAUUUUGGACAAUGGGCGCAAGCCUGAUCCAGCCAUGCCGCGUGCAGGAUGAAGGCCUUCGGGUUGUAAACUGAUUUUGUACGGAACGAAAAGCCUUCUUUUAAUACAGGAGGGUCAUGACGGUACCGUAAGAAUAAGCACCGGCUAACUACGUG